GUUGAAAAUAGCGCACUGCUGAGUCACACACACACUCGGCGCGCUCCGAGUUGUGUGGAGUUAAGUAAGUUACUCAAGUGAGAGAGCAUCGCAAGUAAUCAAAAAAGUGCGCGGGCGCAUGGAUGGCGAUGUAAGUUCCGUGGGUUUUGAACAUGUCAUUACGAGUAACAGUAGCCGGGACAGCCAGCUCGACGUCGAAGAAGCUGCAGCGUCGGCAGAUUUGAAAUUAAUUGAGAGGCCAAGUCGACUUAUUAAAGCGCUAACGCUUUAAUGCCACGCUUUUAAUAAAAUUAUAUUCGUGUGGCAGUUUCAGGUUCUCACGUCCACCAUUAAAGCGCGAUUGCGUUCUUGUGCUUCUGUUCUCACAUACUUAAGUCGCUUUGCUCAUAACGAUUAUGAUUGCUUCGCUUAGCCGCAGAAGAAGAAGAUGGAACUGGCCGGCAGCGUAUUAGAACUGCGUUGCUGGUUUUAUUUUCGUUUUUGAUUAGCGUUUCGUUCGCCGUGCGAAGCUCUUAUAUUAAUAUUCGCUGAUUAUAAGGCGCACGAAUAUGAAUAUCGAACGGUUCUAAUUAAUGACGUCGUCUAACGAGCAAAGCAGUGCCACGAAUACUGCACUUCCGUUAUCGACGCUUAAAAGGACUUUUCAAAUGUUUAUUUUUAUUAGUUACUAAUUAGAAAUGGCAUUAAAUUCAAAAGAAAAUUAGUUUUUACAUAUUAAAGUAGAGGUUGAGGUCAUUUGCAACAAUUUGUUCAGUAAUUAGUGGAAAAUCGUUGUUUUAGUACAAAAUCAGCAGUUUUUAGUAAAAAUUUAAAUCAUUUUUAAAGAACUAAACUUGUAACAACAAAAAAAAUUUAAAAAUUUCCGUUAAUAAAACAAAAAUAAGCAAAAA